UACCUGACACAUUAACUUUUUUUUUUUUAAAUAACAUUUUCAUAGGCUCUGGGACUCUCCCAUGACACAUUAACUUCUAAAAUCAUACUAUCUUAAUGUCUCCAUGCUCUUUAAAAUCAGCUGUUACCUGUUGCUUGAUUAUUUAGGUUCUGUUGUUAUUUAGGCUUAAUAGAGAGGUGUGAUUAUGUUAAACCCAAUCCUGGAAUAUGUAUAAUAGUUUCUCAUUGAAGAAAAUCGUGGUUAACUUUUUGAGAUCAAGCGGAAAAGGGAAGAGAAGGAUGACCCCAGCUUUGCUGGCCCACGACAAGCCUGAAGAGAAUCUGAAGACUCCAGCUGGCGGACAUCAUUACAGAUGUUUGUGUAUCUUCAACAAGGAACUCCGAAAUUUCCCUAUGAUGAUGUCUCCAGGGAGCAAGCAUCAGCUUCGGACCAUUUUUCUCUUGCUCUCACCGUAUUCCUCUUUUGAAUGAUGCUAUGGAUGCUUGGAUUUUUGUUAUCUCUACGUAACAAACCUGAAUAGGCAUCGUUUAAUGAGCAAGGCUUGGAAGCCCUUAACUGCACUUUCUUGUCAAUUGCUGCUGCUGUGUUGUCCUUAUGUUGAUGUGGAGACAGAUCAGAUUGUGAACUCUGACGGGCCUGUGUCUUGAAAUGAGCUCCAGAUAAUGGACUCAGAGGAUGCAUUCAUUCUGGGUGUUGAGGAGAUCGUGUGUAUUUGUGGUGCAGUAAGCCAACGCUCCAGACCAAGAUGAGAACAGAGUGGAUGGGAAAUGUCUGCGUUGGAACCUACCACCGUUUUCAUUCUAUUGUACAAGUAGCUUUUUUUUUUUUUUUUAACGCAUUUGCUCAUUUAAAUUUUUGGCAUGGGAUGGUUGCCCAAUGUUUUGUAGCUCAUGAGUGGUGGUGUUAACUUGAUUAGCUUCGGCUCAGAUGCUGUAUUUCUGUUGAGCUAAACUGAUUCUACAGUGAUCCUUGUGUGAACCACCUACUUUAUCAUCUUUGUUCCUGGCUAUCAAAAUUCAUUGAAUCAUUUAAUUUUGUUUUAGAGAAUCCAGUCUUCUGUGAUUUCAUUAUAAGAGAGUCUGAAGAAUAGCUGAAGUCUUUUUACCUCCUCUACAGGUUACUAUUAAUGCAGGAUGUGGAAUCAUGAAUCCUAAUUUUUCAAAUCAGAAUUGGAGUUUUAUUUGCAUAUGGGGAGGUUAAGAGACUAUUGUGGCCAAGAUAUCAGGGUGAGCUCAGGCAGAGAUCUUUCUGUUUCUCAGGUUGAAGCAUAAUGAAAGUUAAUUGUUUUAAAUGUAAGCAGUCAUAGCCAGCUAUACAUCAGGGAAAGAAAUAGUUGUCUAAUAAUGAGAGGAAGGAAGCACAUGCCCUGUACGCAGUGGGGGAUUGCAGUUGACUUCCUGCAUGAAGUUGUGCCUGAGGCCAGCCUUCUUAUCUGUGAUUCAUGCUGAAAUACAUUUGCCUCACAACCACUAGAAAUCGCUAUAUGCUUGUGGGGAAAAAGCAAAGCUGUAUUCUGACAGUAGCAACUGGAUUUGCCUUGUAUUCACGUGUGGUAUCCUGAAGGUUAACCCUUCCCCAAACCUCCCUCAUUUCUAACGUCAGACUUGUUGUAGGUUGUACAGCCCAAGUGAGUGAGCAGAGGGAACCAGAAGCUGUGUAGUAGUAAAUGUUGUAUAGAAGAUGGUUAUUCAAAAUGUGAUAAAGUCCAUCCAGAGAUAACUGCUUCCUGAAAUAAUCCGCAGAUGUAACCUGUAGGAGUUCACAGCCAAGGAAACAAAAACAAUGUAGCAAUCUGUGCAGACAUUUAAUAUACUUAGAAUCUUUUGAAAGAUGAUUGGAGGAAAUAACACCCUUGAAAGAUCACCGGCUUGUUAGCAUGAAUAGUUAAUCCAGUGAAAAUUAAACAUUAGGAAUUUUGACAAUGAAGCUAUAAUUGAAGUUUUGAAUUUGGGAAACAGUAAACUAGAUAAGCUGAAAAGAAUUUGUUAACUGAAAUAUAGAAAUGAGACUGAUCACAAAAGAGACUCAUCAUAACAUACAAAACAAAUAUAGUGUUGGAAAUUAUGAAGACAGCAUGAAGUACAAUAUGGAUUCAGUAGAAAUUCUGGAAACAGUAAAAGGGAUAAAGAAAUGAAAUAUUCAAAGAAAUAAUGCUGUGAAUUUCCCUUUCUGGAAGAAGGGCACAAAUCCUUGGACUGAAGACCUUGUACCAAAUAAAAUUACUCAGAAUAAAAUUAUAGGAUGUUAAAGAGGAAAUUUGCAAAGCUGUGGAGAGACAUUGUCUAUGAAAAAUGCCAGUCCAGUGAAAGCAGGCUUCUCAGCGACCAUGGGUCUGGAAAACUGCAGAGGAAAGUGCUGAGGACAAGUUAUUAUCAUGUUUUAAACAUGUAUUUUAUUGCAAAGUCAGUUAUACAGAGAGGAGGAGAGACAAAGUGAAAGAUCUUCUGUCCGAUGACUCAUUCCCCAAGUGACCUCACAAACCAGAUCUCCGAUCUGAAGCCAGGAGCCUGGAACCUCCUCCGGGUCUCCCAUGUGGAUGCAGGGUCCCAAGGCUUUGGGCCAUCCUCUACUGGUUUCCCAGGCCACAAGCAGGGAGCUGGAUGGGAAGCAGGGCUGCCAGGAUUAGAACCAGCACCCAUAUGGGAUCCUGAUGCGUUCAAGGCGAGGACUUUAGCCACUAGGCUACCAUGCCAGGCCCAGGACAAGCUAUUUCUAAAGAAUUCUGUAUGGUCUAUGUGUCGUUCCAGAGUGAAGUUGGAAGUAAAGACAUUUAUCAACAUGGGAUCCAGUUUAUCAAGAAUGUCUUUAGAUUGGAUAAUCCCACUGACAGUGGAUUAUCAAUGAGGUGUUUAAUAGGUAGAUAAUAAAUCUAGGGGUAAGAAAUCCUCGGAGUGGUUAACUGACUUGAUAAUGGUUGGCACCUUGGCAGUUUUCAUGGUUUAAAGAUAGCUGUUACUAAGUUUAGCACCAUCCUUCAUGUGAUGGUAAUAAAAGCAGGAAGGGAACUGACAGGUGGAAAUGGCCUUGGCUUACUAGGCAAGAUCUUCCUCAGAAACCCUUUGGCACAAUCCUCAAAUUUUGUUGGCCAGAACUGGCAAAAUGUAAGAUUUCUGUUCCUGGCUUGGACUACUAUGAUUUAUCAGGUUGGAUGAAAAACAUUGCCACCCUAACAAAUCAGGAUAGUUUCAACGAAGAAGGAGGAGUCCUAGUUGGGUCUUCCACACAUCAUCAAUAGUCACCUUCUCUCAUAGUUUUUUUUUUAAGCAUAUUACCUUCAUAAUGAGUAAUUUUGAAACAUAAAUUAAUGUGAAAGACAACAUUAGAGUGAGAGUGAGCAUGCUAUAUCUUCCAUCCACUGGUUCACUGCCCAGAUGACCGCAGUGGCUGGGACUGAACCAGGGUAAGGCCAGGAUCCUGGGACUCCAUCUGGUCUCCCGUGUGGGUGAUAGGAUCCCACACAUUUGGGCCAUCUUCUGUUGCUUCCCCAGAAGACAGCAUACUCAGUAUUCACAACAGCCACCUGGCUUUCCAGUGAAAAUGUAAUCUAUGUAAGGACAAGAUGAUACCUUGUUUUGAUUAAAUGUAGUGUCUUUAGUUUGUAUUGUCAUUUUAUUUAUGAGCAAAUUGAGGUGAAAAAGGUUAAUGCUGUGUCCAUAAAUGAUAGUUGAUAUGGAGUCAUGGUAGGACUCAAAACCUAAUUCUUCAUAUUUUAUAGCUAAUGUUCUUUUUUUUAUGGUUCUUCACUAAUUUUUU